UUCCUCACUUCCAGCUUUUUA
rnacentral:piRNA from 1 species